rnacentral:rRNA from 1 species
UGGGGAAUAUUGGACAAUGGGCGCAAGCCUGAUCCAGCCAUGCCGCGUGUGUGAAGAAGGCCUUUUGGUUGUAAAGCACUUUAAGCGAGGAGGAGGCUACUUGGAUUAAUACUCUAGGAUAGUGGACGUUACUCGCAGAAUAAGCACCGGCUAACUCUGUGCCAGCAGCCGCGGUAAUACAGAGGGUGCGAGCGUUAAUCGGAUUUACUGGGCGUAAAGCGUGCGUAGGCGGCUUUUAAGUCGGAUGUGAAAUCCCUGAGCUUAACUUAGGAAUUGCAUUCGAUACUGGGAAGCUAGAGUAUGGGAGAGGAUGGUAGAAUUCCAGGUGUAGCGGUGAAAUGCGUAGAGAUCUGGAGGAAUACCGAUGGCGAAGGCAGCCAUCUGGCCUAAUACUGACGCUGAGGUACGAAAGCAUGGGGAGCAAACAGGAUUAGAUACCCUGGUA